GAUGAACGCUGGCGGCGUGCCUAAUACAUGCAAGUCGAGCGAACGGACGAGAAGCUUGCUUCUCUGAUGUUAGCGGCGGACGGGUGAGUAACACGUGGAUAACCUCCCUAUAAGACUGGGAUCACUUCGGGAAACCGGAGCUAAUACCGGAUAAUAUUUUGAACCGCAUGGUUCAAAAGUGAAUGACGGUCUUGCUGUCUCUUAUAGCUGCAUCUGCGCUGCAUUAGCUAGUUGUUAAGGUAAUGGCUUACCAAGGCAACGAUGCAUAGCCGACGUGCGAGGGUGAUCGGCGACAUGGGAGCUGAACCGCGGACAAGGGUCCUACGGGAGGCAGCAGAAGGGAAUGGGAGGCAAUGGGCGAAAGCCUGACGGAGCAACGCCGCGUGAGUGAUGAAGGUCCUCGGAUCGUAAUACUCUGUUACUGGGGAAGAACAUAUGUGGAAGGAACUGAGCACAUCUUGACGGUACCGAGUAAGAAAGCCACGGCUAACUACGUG
rnacentral:rRNA from 1 species